UGGGGGGGGAGGGGCGGCCACGGAUCUGCCCGGCCAGGCCCACUGAGCCCUGUCCAACAUUAGUAGGAACCCGAGUAAGGGCUGCAAAACGCAUCCAAAGUGGCGCUGCAGUAACUGUGGGGAGUAGAGGGCGAAAGGAGAUUCCCAUCCAGUGCUGAUGGAGGUGAAGCGUGGAUCUGCACACAGGGACGCUUCAGAUGACAACUGAAACAAGGAACAGGAAGCUGAGAAAGGAAGACACCUCCCACACACACCUAGCAAAAGCUGGACGUUUCUGGUCAUUCAUCCUAUGGGAAGACUUUCUGGAAGGGGCAAUUAUUCUUGGAAGCUGAAAGGUAUUAACAACCUCCAGAAGGCACUAUGACAUUGGAGUCUGGACUAUGUGGAGCAGGACUCAAAGCUGGGCUUAGCUGCUUAUUGACUUUGACCUUGAGCAAAAAGUUAGCAGAUGAUUUAAAGUAUAAGGUAAAAGGAAUUCAUGCUUGUUAACCCAUUAAACGCUCGUUAGUUACGCUCUCUUUUAAAAAGCCAUUCAAAAAUGUAUAUGACAAGCAAAUAUUUAUUGCAGUGUUUCUUAAAAUAAUGAAAAAUUAGAAACCAUUAUAAGGGGCUACUGCUAAAUCAUGGUGUACUCAUAAAUGAAACGUUGUGCGUCCAUAAAAAGGGGUUCUGAGGAGUGGUUCCUGGCACGAUGUAAUAUGAAAAAAGCAAAAUACGAAAUUGUGCGAUUCUAAUGUUGCAGAAACUUUCAGCCUACACGACUAUCGCUGAAUAAAAUCACAAAGUAGAAAAUGGUGAUUAUAUCUUGGAGUGAUGAGAUUGUAGGUGAUUUUUAAUUUUCUUUACUAAGGUUUUCUGCAGUUAAACAUUCUGCAGUUCAAUCUCAUUUAAUACAAAUAUCUAGAACUUCUCAAAUGGAGUGACUUCAGCAUUUGACGUCCUCGGCCUGAUUGCUGUGGAGGUUAUUGUGCGGAGUGACCUUUGACCAUACGGCCACAGAUCCAGAAGCCAGACGUCUGCGGGGCUUUGCUCCUGAGAGGGAGCUCCCAGACUGUGACCUUUGAUUCCUGCACGCCUCCUCUUGCCAUCUGAUGCCGGUCUGCUCCUGUGACUAAGUGAAAAUCGUCAUAACUGCGCUCGGGGGUUAACUCUGGCCCGACUGGGAGGGAACGUGCCGGCAGCAUGCUGGAGGCAGGGAAGAAGGCCAGCAGCCUUGUCAGGAACAAACACCCCGGACGGCACCUUUCCAUAGACAUGCGGUUCCCCGGGACCCGUGGGGAGUCCUCUGCACAUGCCAGGACCAGCAGCAAUGGAAGGAAUUAUCUUUCACUCCCUUCUUGGUGAAAAUGUCUAUUUUCCAGAAAUGAAUUACAGCAAUAAAUUAUGGAAAUUG